GGGAAUGUGGCUCAGUGGUAGAGUGCUUACCUAGCACGCAUGAAGCCCUGGGUUCGAUUCCUCAGUACCA
rnacentral:tRNA from 1 species